rnacentral:other from 1 species
UGUUUCCUUGGGUGUGCGUUACGCUCCUUUUUUAAACCCACGUAAUUACAUUGGGAGCCUGUAGUCCAGUUACUUAGUACGGCAUGCGCGCAUUUAUGUGCGAAGGUGGAACGGUACGGCAGGGCACCCACCUGCCUGAGCGGCGGGUUGUAAUCGGGGGCGGACGGCAUCUAGGGAAUACU